rnacentral:rRNA from 1 species
AACGUACUCAGUUCGGAUUGUAGUCUGCAACUCGACUACAUGAAGCUGGAAUCGCUAGUAAUCGCAGAUCAGAAUGCUGCGGUGAAUACGUUCCCGGGUCUUGUACACACCGCCCGUCACACCAUGAGAGUUGGGAAUACCCGAAGCCUGUGAGCUAACUUUUAGAGGCAGCAGUCGAAGGUAGAAUCAAUGAUUGGGGUGAAGUCGUAACAAGGUAGC